GGUAGAACUGUUAGUUCCUGGCUUCCCUUCCGCAGCCCCUCCCCACAUCAAGUUCCAAGCUAGGGAGGCUCCAGUUGUCACCAGCCAGGACAUCACUGUGACAACUUCUCACCUCUGUCAUCGCACAGGAAGAGCAGUGAGAGACAAUCUGCCCAUGAGUGUUUGUGGCCUUGUUCCAAUAAAUCUUUAUUUACAGAGA